ACUUCCUAAAGAUAUGACCUUAUUACAAUCAUAACUCAUACAUUUCAUGUUUUUGUUUUAGAGUUAUAUAAUCAUGCAGUGGAAAAUGAUUAAAAGUUCAGCAUCGGACGAGGAAUACAUAUAUAUUGAUAUGUAUAUAUAAAAACAUCAACAACAACAAUCAAUGAAAGGAACAUGGAUGAUGAACAUAUUAUUUUGAUGUCAAUGAACAAACAAUAAUACAUAAUUAAGGGAAAUGAAGUUACAUAAAAAGAAUCGAGUGACCACUGUAAGUCGUUACAAGACAAACUUCAGAAAAUAAUUUAAAAAAAAAAAUAUGAAGGAUUAUUUAUUUCAGGUUUACCAAGAACCAUAUCAAUCGGAAGCCUAACUUCUGUUCCGAACAUCAUUGUUGCGGGUGUGACUCCAAUAGACUCAUGAACAGAAGAGCGAAAGGCCAUUAAACAUAAAG